rnacentral:lncRNA from 1 species
UCAUGUUUCUUACAUUCUUAUAUUCUAUCCUCCAUAUCAAUCCCAGAAAGAGGUUUGUUAUACAGUUCUGAAACAGUUAUUCACCUGCUUCCUUGGACUGUUCAUCACUGCCAUAAUAUUAUGUAUAAGGAACCCACUUAUCUUGGCUUGACUCCAGUGCUUAACCCAUGCAUGGUACUCUCCAUUCACUCCAAAACUUUCCAAGUAUGUCCAUUGCCCUGGUAGCUGUUUCCUUACCCUGACCUCUUCUAUUUUUGGUAACUUUUUAGACGUCACUCAUAACUCAGCUCAAAUGUCACCUUCUUCAAAAAUCUCUAUUUCUUAAUCUUCCUUGGAAGACCUAGGCUCCUAUUGCUUUGUGGCCCUUUCCACGCUCAGGACUCAUUAUCCAUUAAACUGCAGUUAUUUCUUUCCCAGACUCUAUCUCCUUCUAAAAAUAUAAUAUUUCUUGCUCAACUUUGUAUCUCCAGCAGCUGGUAAUGCAUCUACUGUUUCAUAAAAGUUUGUUUAAUGGAUAAGCAGAGAUUAACUACAUGAGUUAUUUGUCAGAUAUUGAUGCACAUUUAUUGUAAUGCCCAAACCAAAAGCAGAUUGAACUUACAUAAGCCAGGAAGUCACAUACUGACUUCAGCACAAAGGAAGUUUGAAUAUUUUCUUUGGAUACUAUCAGUGAUCUUUAAACAUGUUAGUUGAUUAAAUGUUAUUAUUUAAUGAAGUCAAUCUUGAUUCCAUAAUAUACUUAUUUUAUGCCCUUCAUAGCCUCUUUUAGACUCAUCAUCAAUGUCACUUAUCAUAGAAGGAAUAGAAAGAAUGUUUUUUUUUAAAUUUUUAUUCUAAAGUACAUCGGAUUUCUGACAAACCAAUGAACUUGAAGAGUAACAAUGUGUUUUUAUAUAUAAGAAUUUCCAGAGGGGACUAUUGAUUGCAGUCUAACAAACACAACAUUAUUUACCUUGGCAUCCAAAAUACAAUAUUCCCUUUUGAAGGUCAAUUAGAUUUGGGAAGAAAAAUCAACCCAAAACAUAUAUGGGUGAAUAAAAUGGUUAUCAAUCUAGACAGUCACAUCUUGCAUUAAAAAACGUCCAAAGUGACUAUAAAAUAAUGAAGCUAACUUCACUGAGUAGCUUGUGAACUAAUUCUGAAACAGCUUUGAAGACAAAUAAAUAUAACUGGCUUUUUAAAAAGAUGUUAAUUUGACUGUGAAGGUACUCAGUUUUAUAUUUUGUACCAUACGUAUUUAUUAAGUCCUUUAUCUAAUUCAUUCUUUCAUCCAAACCCACUGUGUGGCAAUCAUGAUCUAGUCUUUGGGAUUACAGCAGCACACACAACAAAUUUUAUGUACUCAUAAAACUGAGCACAUCUGGUGUUUGGAGAUAGGUAUCCAACAAAUACGUGAUUUGAAAAAUGGUUAUAAUUGCUAAGAUGAAAAACAAAUCAGGGUAAGAGGACAGAGGGUGAUGCAGGACCUCUGUGAUUAGAUGGCAUGGUGGAAGUGAAUGAAGUAAAGUAGCUGGCUUUGUGGAUAUCUGGAGAAAGAGCCUUCCGGGUAAAGGGGAUGGUAAGAACAAGGACCCUAGGCAGAAGUCCACUUGGCAUGUAUGAACAACAAAGUCUUUAUGACUGGAUUGAAGUGAUAAAAGGGAAGUUAUAAAGCUAUAAGGAAAUGAGGUUUGGGAGCUACCCUGGGGUUAGACAAUGUGGUGUCUCAUUUUGGAUUCUUUUCUGAGUGAAGUGAGAAAUUACUGGAGGGAUUUUAGAAGAGGAGUGACACGGUUUAACUUCUCUAUAUCUAACAGACUGUGGAGCAGUUAUUCAAAACUCGGAGGGAGUCGGCAUGGGAGGAUCCAUAUAAUUUCACGCUAAAUUGUGCACGUCUGUUUGUGAAAUGUGAAGGUGCACAUUUGUUUUCCUGGAAGGCAAAUUUCAUUUCUUAUACCACCUUGUCAGAAAGAUCUGUGAUCCCAAGGAACUGCUGUUGUAAAGAAACAAGGACAAGCAAUUUGAGGCAAGAAAUGAUGGUUCCAACGAGGGAGGGAGUAACCAUGGAUAUGCUGAAAUGCAGUUGGUUCCAGGAUUUAUUAGGACAUGAUUAGUUUGUAAUCAUCCCUAAGCUCCACUAAUCCAAUGACAAAAGUCUCAGCACGUACAAAAGAAUGAAAUUCCUCUUCAUUGUCCCAUUUGAACAAACCUGGAGAGAUUCUAAAGGACAGGAGCGGAUAUCAUCAAAGGUAAUGCAAAGGAUUCUAUAAGGACCAUGAGAGAGCCUUCCAUUUAAUCUUGAAAGUAGCAGAACCUCCUCAGGAAGUGGAACAACACAUUAAAGAGAUAGACUCUUAACCCAGAGAGCAAUUUCUAAGAAUAGACAUAGUUCCCAUUCAUUGAGUGUUUAUUAGAUGACAGGCACUUUGCUACUCAUUCCGAAUGCAUUUUCUCAUUUAAUGAUCUCAAUGAGUAUGCCCCUUUGGUACUAUGAUGAUCAUAUUGAAGAAACUGUGGCAUACACAGGUGAUUGUGCCCAAGGUCAUAUAACUGACAUAUUGGAAACUUAGGUAAUCAUAUCCAAAGACUGGCUUCCACCAACAUCCAUCCUUUUAAUCUUAGUUCUAUAGCAACAUGGAGUUAUAAUAUACAUCCUAAUCCAUUUAAUCAGCCUCACACUCGGAACCCAAAUCCCUUUUUGCAGCAUUCCAGACAUGUGCCUGUACUAGCCUAAACAGAGUUUAACAAACAUUCCUAGUGAUGGAGAGGUUGGAAUGAGAGAAAAAACAAACAGAAACAUGAAAAAAAAAAAAAAAAAACCACUGUUCUUAUUUCACACAUAAUAGUUCUCAUAGGAAUUUGAAAGAUGGAUAUCAUUACAGCCACUUUAUAAGUGAGGAAACUGAGGCUCAGAGAAGUUGAGGAGUCAGUUUUAGGUCAUUCUACCAAAAAUAAUGGAACUGGUUCUCAUUUGAUUCCAAAUCUGAAGUUCUUUCUUUUUUACCAGGUUACCUACCUCUGAAGAGACACUAGUAACAAGUCAUUGGUUCCAUUUUUGAAUAGUUAUGCAGCAAAAUUUCUUUAGAGUGAACAUUUUUCACAUUAGGGUCACUAAGGUAAGCAAGUAGAACUAACAUAUUCUUUGAAGCUUCCACAAGUUCGUCAUUGAUCUUCUGCUGGAAGCAACACAGUGUAAGUCUAAGCUUUCUUUGAAAUGAUAGACUUUCAAAUCUUUCAGGUGAGUUAUAUUUCUGUAGUAGCUAGGCUCUUUUUCAGGCCCCUCUUCUCUAGUUCUGCCCACAUUUACCCCCAGGUUUCUCAAAUAUUACUUAAAACUAUAGUUAUUUUAUUCUUACAUUAUUUAACACAAGCAACUAUAUUCCAUCUGAUCUGUGGCUUUGAAGAUAAAAAGGUCUAAGAGAGACAAUCUUCAGUGCUUCGUUAUCUAUGCUGCAUAUGGACAGAGUUCCAAGUCCUUUGCCAUUUCAGUUGUGUUCUCAGUGGCCUCUGGAUUGUCAAUGAUGUUCUUAAAAUGUGUUAUCCAGGACUGAGAAAACAGUACAUGAGACCUGACCUUGUGCUCAACUUAUAUUUCUAUUAAAAUAGUGGUUGAGCCUGUAGGCCAUGAAAUCAGAUGACUGGUUUCAAAUUCAGGCUCAGUUAUUUUCCAGCUAUCUGAUCUUAAGCAAGUUACUUGUUACUGCCUCAGUUUCUUCAUUUUAGAAGGAAUGAAAUGUGACUGUCUAUCUUAAGAAAUCAUUGUGAUGAUUAUAUGUUACCACCACAUGGACCCAUCUGUUCCAGUUUGUACUUGGAGCCUUUCCUUCUCUGCCAUUAUGAAGAAUGAAUGGUCCAAGGCUAAGCUUCCAUUUUUGGCUCCUUUUGUUAAUUCUGCCUUUUCUUCCUAACUCUAAAUGUUGAAAUACUUCUCCUUUUUCUUGACAUUGGACCUCAUCUCCAUUUUAUCUAUGCUCUCUUCCUUGGUGAAAUAAUACAGUCACCAAGGCCAUUAUAUACUAAUUACUCCAAAUCUAGGUCUCCCUCUUAGACCUCAAACUUCUGCAACUGCCAAUCAACCUCUCCACUUACACGUCUACAGGCAUUUCAAAAAUAACAUUUCCAAAACAGAGAUCUUUAGUUUAUCUCCAGAAGUAUUUUGUCUACAGUUUUCCUCAAGUCUGUUCUUUCAGUUCCUUGGGUCAAAAACCUUAUAAACAUACUGACUACUCUAUUUUUUUCACAACCCACAUCUAAACUAUGAGCAAAUCAAUCAGUGCACUAAUUUCUACCUCUCUCAAUAACUGUGUCCUUCUAUAAUGUGUUAAUUAUCUUUGUUUUAAUAAAUUCUAAAUCAUGCUUGCCUUAACCAUUCUAGAUGAAAUGCAAUUUUCAUUACCUAUCAUAUAGAAGUUGAAUAGUUCUGUUUUCUGACUCUGCUCGUUCAUAAUACACCACCUGAACUAAGUAAUGGGUAUAAUAUACCCAAAUACAUUUGGACUCUUCAAUAUGGUCCUAUUGAAGAGGCACAAAAGAAUUCAUUUGUGUGCUCCCUUUGCUAAUGGUAUUUUCAACGUUCAUUUAGAAAUGCAUUUAUAGUUAUUUUAUGAACAAUAUAAGAAAAAUUAGUUGUGUACAAGUUAUGCACCUAAUUUUUGACUAAAAAUGUUAUCCAUUAAUUUAUUUUUCUACUCUUACUUAUUUCCAAUAAUCACCUUCAGUGUAACAAUUUGCUACCACCUUGAAUAUUUAAACAAGUGGCCAAGAGUUCAAAGGGAAUUUCUACAGCAGGGUUGUGAACAUAUUUUAAGUGCAGCAGUACUGACAGACUAAGCAUAUAGCUUUCUGAGGGAAAUAUUGUGAAGAGACAACAUUCAUGUGUGUAUCUGUAGGUUGGCCCACAGUGAAAAAGUAUUAUCCAUAAUACUGCACACAUAUUUCUCAUAUCUCAAUGCACUUUAUACUCUUAGGAGGAAAUCCCCUACUCAUGGGCUGUUGAAGAACCUUAAUCAUUAGAAUUAAUAAUUUUCGUGCAAGUAGUUUUAUUUUCAUAUAAGGUUCCAGUUUCAUAUAAGGGGUUAACUUUCUCCUUAAAAUCUAGUAAACCUGACUACAUAAAAGCCAAAGCCAUCAGGGAGAUAGUGUUAAGAGUAGACACUUUCUAAGUUGAGAUUUAAAAAUAAGUAAAUAACCACUUACCAUUUGCUUAAUAUGUGCUAACUAUAGUGUGCAUUGUAGGAAAAAGAAAUACAAGGAACAGACUCUUUUAAAAAAGAUUACAGGGCUGGGGGUGAUGAUUCAUGCUUGUAAUCCCAGCAUCUGGGGAGGCCAAGGCAGAGGAUUGCUUGAGGCCAGGAGUUUGAGACAAGCCUGAGCAACAUAGGAAGACCUCAUUUCUAUUAGAAAGAAGAAAGAGAAGAAAGAGAGAAAGAAAGAAAGAAAGAGAGA